rnacentral:rRNA from 1 species
GCAUUAGCUAGUUGGUGGGGUAACGGCCUACCAAGGCGACGAUGCGUAGCCGACCUGAGAGGGUGAUCGGCCACAUUGGGACUGAGACACGGCCCAGACUCCUACGGGAGGCAGCAGUGGGGAAUAUUGCACAAUGGGGGAAACCCUGAUGCAGCAACGCCGCGUGAGUGAUGAAGGUUUUCGGAUCGUAAAGCUCUGUCUUUGGGGAAGAUAAUGACGGUACCCAAGGAGGAAGCCACGGCUAACUACGUGCCAGCAGCCGCGGUAAUACGUAGGUGGCGAGCGUUAUCCGGAUUUACUGGGCGUAAAGGGAGCGUAGGCGGAUGAUUAAGUGGGAUGUGAAAUACCCGGGCUCAACUUGGGUGCUGCAUUCCAAACUGGUUAUCUAGAGUGCAGGAGAGGAGAGUGGAAUUCCUAGUGUAGCGGUGAAAUGCGUAGAGAUUAGGAAGAACAC